UCGAUCCCCUGGAACAUGAGGGUUUCAGAGCUCGUCAUGGUUUCUCACCAACAUACCACGUCUCUGGGACUCUUGGACCUCACUCUACAAAAGGCUUUUGCUUUUGCUGAGCACCGCUGCUGCUGUCAGUCGGGUCUCUGCCUCCACCCCACCGCCACCUCUGCCCGCCGCGGCCCCGGGCUGACCCGGCAGGUGCGAGGCCCAGAGGAGGCCGGGUCUGCACCGCGCGAGCCCCGGCGGAGAGGAGGCCGGGUUUGCACCGCGCGAGCCCCGGCGGAGAGGAGGCCGGGUUUGCACCGCGCGAGCCCCGGCGGAGAGGAGGCCGGGUUUGCAGCGCAGGCCUCGCCGCCGGAACUCCGAGCGCCGAGCCGGGGAGCGCCGAGGGCGCCGGGCCCCCCGCCGGCCGCAGCCAGCGGCGCCCGGCCUCCAAGCCUGCGGCUCUCCGCAGCCGGACUCCUGGGCAAGCCCCGUCCCCUCUUGCCCGCCCGCCGGGUUCGCCGCAGCCCCGGGUUCCGCGUCGCCGACCCGCUCCCGCCGGCCAGCAGGAGGAGGCCGAGGGGCUGGCGGGAGGGAGUCGGAGCCGGAGCCCGAGGGGGGAGCGAGGAGGCGGGAGGAAGGGCGCCGGGCGGGGGCGGAGCGCGAGGCGGGGCGGGCGAGCGCCGCCGGGGCGGGGGGCGGGGUGGGGGCGGGGCCCGGCCUUCCCGCUCCCGCGGCGCGGCAACUCCGCCGAGCCUCCUUAAAACUCUGCCGUUAAAAUGGGGGCGGGUUUUUCAACUCAAAAAGCGCUCAAUUUUUUUCUUUUCAAAAAAAGCUGAUGAGGUCGGAAAAAAGGGGAAAGAAACCGGCACGGUCUCUGCAGCGGCCACAGACGUAGCAACUGUUGGAGCGAAAAGAGCAGCAAAGAAGGGAGGGAAGGAGGCGAGUAGGAAGGGGGAUAACGCUCCAGUGUCUGUCGGGGUGAGGGGAGCAGGGACCGGCGAUUUUGGGGGAGACCAGCUACAAAAGAAACUGUCACCGGGAGCGCGGCGGCUCGGGAGGAAGCGGCGCUGCCCAGGUCGGCUGCGGGGCACAGCUGGCUGGCGGCCGCUGCCCUGUUGGCGGCACCGGCCGCGGGCAGAGGUCGGGGAGCCGCGAGAGGCUGGCCAAGUGGCACCGGUGGCCGGAACGGCUGGGCUCUUGGUCGACAGGGCGGCGGGACUGGCCGCGACCUGGCAUCGCGGUGACUCCCCAAACUCGGAGACCGGCUCCAGCUCCCCCGGACCCUCCCGCUCUCCGGCCGCCCCUCGGAAAGCCAGGGCAGGAAGGAGAGGACGGCGGCGGCCGCUCCGGGAGCGUCUCCCGUAGGAAGCCUGCGCUGGCUCGGUCGUAGGCGGGAAGUGACGGCUGGGCUGCCCCGGGCAGCCGCGAUGCUGCAACGCGCUGCCCCAGCAGCCCGGGCCCGGUAGACGCUGCCCGCAUCGCUCUCCCUGUCCUCGCGCUGCUGGGAGUCCCGGCACCCGGCGGGGCCGGCAUGACCCGCUUGGCCGAGGCCCGCCGCGCGCCCGGCGGUCUCCGGGGACGCGCGCCGAGCCUGGCUCCCACGGCCUCGGAGGCUCGGCGGGGCGGCGGUGGCCCGGCGGGCGGGCUCCGGAGCCUUCCCGCGCGGCGUUAGCCCGCGUCUCGGCCCGGACGCGAAGCCAGGCCCCUCCCGAGGAGCCCAGGCCACCGAGGAGUCGCUGCGACCUGUGACUUGAGGGCUGCGGAACUACCACUCCCGUUUGCCUGCUGGCGAUCAUCUUUAACCCCCCGGAGGACGUCAGCAUCCAGCUGCAGCGGCGCUCUCCCCGCCGCGGAGGACGCGACUACCCCUUCGGGCGUGACGGAUGGAGACGAGCCUCCCGAAGGACCUGCCCCUGCCGUUGUGGCUCGCGCGGCCCCAGCCACCGCCGUGAACCAGGGUUAUGAAACUUGGAAAUCCCGAGAUUGCCAGGAGACUACUGCUUAGAGGUGCUGAUCCCAAUUUGAAAGACGGAACUGGUUUCGCUGUCAUUCAUGAUGCAGCCAGAGCGGGUUUCCUGGACACUUUACAGACUUUGCU